CGUAGGGUGCGAGCGUUAAUCGGAAUUACUGGGCGUAAAGUGUGCGCAGGCGGCGCCGCAAGUCGAGUGUGAAAUCCCCGAGCUUAACUUGGGAAUUGCGCUCGAAACUACGGCGCUGGAGUAUGGCAGAGGAAGGUGGAAUUCCACGUGUCGCGGUGAAAUGCGUAGAGAUGUGGAGGAACACCGAUGGCGAAGGCAGCCUUCUGGGCCAAUACUGACGCUCAUGCACGAAAGCGUGGGGAGCAAACAGGAUUAGAUACCCUGGUAGUCCACGCCCUAAACGAUGAUGACUAGUUGUUGGAGGAGUUAAAUCCUUUAGUAACGCAGCUAACGCGUGAAGUCAUCCGCCUGGGGAGUACGGUCGCAAGAUUA
rnacentral:rRNA from 1 species